rnacentral:lncRNA from 1 species
CAAAAUAAAAUAUUUUUCCUUAUUAGAGCCAACAAUUAUCCAUAAUAUAAAAUAAAAUAUGUAAUGUUUUCUUAGUUUCCAAGAUAAUAAGUCAAGAUCAAAUUAUUAAACUUGUCCCUGAUGUCAUAAUAUCAGUGACUAGAACCCUAUUUAAACAUAAACACUGAUCAAUAAAACUUUAAAUAAAAAUAUAAUAUAGGUGAGAUCAUAAAUAUCCACUUUAUUCUCAAACACAAACACAUUGAUAUCACUCCUCAAUCUUGUUUUGAGGAUAACCUGCAUAUAAUAAUUGAAAAGAAACAUGUAGAAAAUAGGGGGUGAGAUUUUAUAAUAGAAAAAGAUAUGUUUGAAUAUAAUAUAUAGAGAAAUAGGAUAUAAGUGGGUAGUUGGAAUGGAACCCGUAUCAUUAGCUUGGAUGGGUUUAUAGUCAAUGAAAGUUUCUAUUUAAAAAUUGAACGUGAAAAUUUUGUUUCAUUUAGGGCCUUUGUAGAAUAAUUUAAGAGAUAGAUGCAAUACAUGAAGAAGAAAAUGGCAAUUAACAUCUAUGUCAGCCUUUCGGUAUGAAUACAUAUGUUAAAAUAAAUUUAAAGUGGUAAAGUAGUAAUGUAUAGAAGCAAACAAACAAAUAUACGUUUAUGACUGCAAACCAUUUGAGGCGUACACAUAAUACUAUAAGAGAUACAUAUAUAAAAUGAAUCGUUCCUACACAUCUAUUAUAUAUGCAUAUCGCGUACACAUAACUUGUAUUUAAGAAAGUAUAAUUUGAUGACAAGGGAGGUAAAAGAAGAACACCACCGCUCGAUGUGAACUUUAGCACAUUGCAAUAUCACUACUAUUUGAAUGUUAAGCGACUAGUUAGAGUUUCUCAACUAUAAAUAUACUCUAAAAUCAAGGAAUCAUAAAGAGCCACUAGGGAUUUCACACCGAAGAGUAGUCUCCCCUUAAAUUGGGUUGACAAACCCAUGGCAUCUUCACCAUCUAAUUCAUUUAAUAUUUUCACUCAUAUAUUAAAAUAAUUCAAUAUGAUUCAUUUUUCACAAAAAAACAUAAAAAAUUAUCAUUGUUUUAUUCUCAUGUCAAAAAUGUUAUCAUCAGUCCCUCCAUUUACAAUGUAGGUAUGUUAUAAAUAUAUUAUCAUCCAAGAACUUUCACUGCCUCACUUGAGCUACGAGGCUUGGCUCAAUACUAUUAAUCACAAAAUUAUACGCAACACACAAAUUCUCAUGAGCAACCUAGUAAUUAAUUGAAAAGAAUGAUUCACUUUUGUACUAACAAGUUGUAAUCCUCAUUAAAAUAUAAAUUACUUAUUCUAUUUAUAUUUUUCUUUGUGGUUUUAAGGUUCCAUUUGUCAAUCAAAAUUUUCAUUUACAAGACAACUUUUUUGGAGCUUUUAUAAUCUAUUAUUUGAGUUUGAUAUGUUUCUUCAACCUAAUUACCUUGUAUUUUGGGAUGGAUUUAUAUCAUUAGGUUGGCCAUUUUUUAUUAUGCUAUUGCUUUUAGACUCAUUGGUAACGAUGAACUAACAUAACUAUAUUAAAAAUUCUAGGAAACAAAAGUAUGUAUAUAUAUAUAUAUAUAUAUAUAUAUAUAUAUAUAUAAAAGUCUUUGGUACUUGGAUUGAGUUUCCUUUUCCCAAGAUUCAAUCUAACUGUGUUUCUGUGCUUCUUUCAAAUUACGUAGUGUUUGGUGCGGUUUUCGACUUGUGUAUGUAAGAAUCACAACAGACAAAUAUGAUGUUUUUUCCUUAUUGUACAUGUUGUGGCGUACUUGUGUAGGUGCUAGAGUUAUCAAAGCAUUUGUUUCGUUUCUUCAAUAUUCUAAAGUGGAUAAAAUAUCUAGUACAUAUUUAGGACGAAUAUGGUAAAAUAGUUUAUCAAUUAAUAUAUAUAGGGUGAAACAAGAUCUACCAGGUAUUAAAAAGAUAAUGGUAGCUAUGAUUUGUUUUUUCAUUCUUAAGAGUAUCAUCUAAAUAGAUAUAUUUUGUCAAUAUAUUGUCUAUAAUAUAAGUGUGAUAUUUUAAUUGUUUUCAUACAUUGGUAGGGUAAGAGCAUUUGGAUCAUCUUUUAUAUAUGAUAUUUUAUUUAUGUACGAAAUAUCAUAGAUGAUAUAUUUUUCAUUUUUAAUAAAAUAGUUAUGUCCUCUGUAUAUUUGAAGCAGUUAUAUGUUCAUGAUGCCUUAUUAUAUGUUAACUUAAGGGUGUUAGUAUAGUGUAGGUUUUUGUGUAAUCAUUGAUUAUUAUGAUCAUGAGGAUUAUAAGUAAGAUAAUAGUAUAAUAUUAUUAGGGAAACUAUGAUUAUGAUGAAAACAAAUUACAAGUAUGACAAUCGACUAAGGUUAUGAAUAUGAAUAAAAAUAUAAACAUGACUUUUUCGUACAAACAUAAAUGAUUAGUUAGUGAUGUUUAUGGACUAAGUUUCCAUGACUUAUAGAGAUUAUAUAUGAAGAAUUUCAUAAGGUUUCAUUGAUGUUAUUCCACCAUUAAGUUUAUGGGGUUUCACAAGGUGUAUUACUGGUCCCAUCUUUUAGAAAGGAUAUUAUCAUUAUUUUGAACAUGGCUAAAUGCCACUAUAGUGAUCUAUUCUAGCCAAAAUUAUGGACUGCAAUAAGCUUAAAGCAUUUAGACUCCAUUAGAAGUAACAGGGUGCUUUCACAUUGUUAGCGAGACCAUUUGUGGCAUCAUAAUUUACCAGUUUAAUUGUCAACGCUUAGUUUGAUAUGCAUCAAAUACAUAUGAAUGAUCUGAAAUGAAAUUUAACGAUGAUGUAUAAUAUGAUUGAGUCGAGGAUGUAUGCUGUACUUUUUGUGUGGUGUACUUUUUUCCAUCCCAUUAUUUUGAUUUUCUAGAGUCUUAGUUCCUAUUUAAAAUGAUCCCCAUUUGCAGGGGCUUUGGAUUUUAUUGUGUUGUUGGAGUACCCCUUGUACUCCUUUUUCAAUUUGAUAUAUAUUCCACUAAAAAAAAUUAUUUAAAAUGAUUCUAAUGUGAUUAAAUAAAUUGCAAGGUCGAAGAAUUACAUGAAAGAUUAGAGAAUUAUGUUUUACCUUAGUCGGUCAAGGAAAGACAAAUACUGUUGAUGCACUCCAUGGGAUAUGGAUUGUCAGGAAAAAAUUUCAGGCAAUCGUCAUCAGUAUCACACACUACUGUAAGGUAAAUAAAGAUAAAGAAAUAUUACUAAAUAUAAAAGAAAUGUGUUGUCUAAGAUAAAAAAUAAUAAUAAUAGAAUGAGCUUACAUUCGCCAUAAAUUACAAUAAAAUACAAAGAAACAAAAAGGAUCGCAUUAUAAAUAAACUUGAGAAUUUCAGCCAUUCUAUUAAUAAAA